rnacentral:rRNA from 1 species
GACGGAGGAUGCAAGCGUUAUCCGGAAUGAUUGGGCGUAAAGCGUCCGCAGGUGGCAGUUCAAGUCUGCUGUCAAAGACCGGGGCUUAACUUCGGAAAGGCAGUGGAAACUGAACAGCUAGAGUAUGGUAGGGGCAGAGGGAAUUCCUGGUGUAGCGGUGAAAUGCGUAGAUAUCGAGAGGAACACCUGCGGCGAAGGCGGGUUGCUGGGCUGACACUGACGCUGAUGCGCGAAAGCUAGGGGAGCGAACGGG